UAGUGAUUGGAGGAUUCAAAGCCUGGGGUA
rnacentral:piRNA from 1 species